GAUGAACGCCGGCGGUGUGCCUAAUACAUGCAAGUCGAACGCGUUGGCCCAAUUGAUUGAUGGUGCUUGCACCUGAUUGAUUUUGGUCGCCAACGAGUGGCGGACGGGUGAGUAACACGUAGGUAACCUGCCCAGAAGCGGGGGACAACAUUUGGAAACAGAUGCUAAUACCGCAUAACAACGUUGUUCGCAUGAACAACGCUUAAAAGAUGGCUUCUCGCUAUCACUUCUGGAUGGACCUGCGGUGCAUUAGCUUGUUGGUGGGGUAACGGCCUACCAAGGCGAUGAUGCAUAGCCGAGUUGAGAGACUGAUCGGCCACAAUGGGACUGAGACACGGCCCAUACUCCUACGGGAGGCAGCAGUAGGGAAUCUUCCACAAUGGGCGCAAGCCUGAUGGAGCAACACCGCGUGAGUGAAGAAGGGUUUCGGCUCGUAAAGCUCUGUUGUUAAAGAAGAACACGUAUGAGAGUAACUGUUCAUACGUUGACGGUAUUUAACCAGAAAGUCACGGCUAACUACGUGCCAGCAGCCGCGGUAAUACGUAGGUGGCAAGCGUUAUCCGGAUUUAUUGGGCGUAAAGAGAGUGCAGGCGGUUUUCUAAGUCUGAUGUGAAAGCCUUCGGCUUAACCGGAGAAGUGCAUCGGAAACUGGAUAACUUGAGUGCAGAAGAGGGUAGUGGAACUCCAUGUGUAGCGGUGGAAUGCGUAGAUAUAUGGAAGAACACCAGUGGCGAAGGCGGCUACCUGGUCUGCAACUGACGCUGAGACUCGAAAGCAUGGGUAGCGAACAGGAUUAGAUACCCUGGUAGUCCAUGCCGUAAACGAUGAGUGCUAGGUGUUGGAGGGUUUCCGCCCUUCAGUGCCGGAGCUAACGCAUUAAGCACUCCGCCUGGGGAGUACGACCGCAAGGUUG
rnacentral:rRNA from 1 species